rnacentral:rRNA from 1 species
AUGGGAUUCUAUAGUCUACAUGAAUCCCUUCAUCAUGAGGUCACCAAACUUCUCUCCAGAUUCUUCUGGGCUGGAGAGGACAAUAAACAGAAGUAUCACAUGGUGAAAUGUUCUGAGAUCUGUAAGCCUAAAGACCAAGGAGGCCUUGGGGUCAUUUCUUCCAAACGGAUGAAUACUGCCCUCCUCUCCAAAUGGCUUUGGCGGAUUCAAACCGAGGAGGGCGGCCUGUGGCUCGAGAUUAUCCGUGCGAAGUACCUUCGCGGGCAACCGCUGGCACUCGCCCCUAGAUCUGAAGGGUCCCAAUUCUGGCAAUCGGUGAUCCAUCUGAUGCCGAUCUUGCGCAUUGCGACCUCCAUUAAAGUGGGCACCAGAUCCAGCACCCUAUUCUGGCCGGAUAGAUGGGCGGGGACCUGUCCUUUUGCGGAAUGCUUUUACGCGUUAUUCUCGAUCUGUGUCCGUCCACAACUCUCUGUGGCUGUGGCCUUAGCUGACUUGGGCGCUAUUGCCUUCCGCCGUACCUUCGGGGCGAUGGAGCUCGAGCAAUGGGAUGAAUUGCUCGAGUGUAGUGCCCCCACUCCCCUCGCUUGA